ACACUGGCUCUGGAUCCCCUGGGACUAGAGUUACAUAUAGUUGGGAACGCCAUGUGGGUGCAGGGCGUCACAACUAAGACCUCUGGAGAAGCACCAGGGCUCUUCACUGCUGACCCCGACUGGGACUCUGAAGCCUGUGGGGACUUGGAACGUUAUAGAUGAAAACUCAUUUGUUCCAAGAGACACUUCUGGUGAAGGAAGGCUUCUGGAAUCGAAUACCAGCUUCCAACGACAAAACUGAGUCCCAGAGACUGUAAAAAUCUGGAAAGGAAGUUUUGAGCUGUAAGGAAGGUCUGGGUCUGGGGACAUCCUGGAUUAUCAGGAAGGAUCCCAAUUCCCAUCCCAGGUGUCUUCACAAGAUACGAACAGGAGCUGGACAUGGAGAGGAUGGGGAAGCCUGCAAAGAUGGCAGCUAAGGGAACAUAUGCAGCUUGGGCCCAGGGAAGCCUGAAGCCCCCAGGAACUGCAGAGGCAAGACUCCUUCCUUAGCCUUCCGUGGGAACAAGGUUCUGCUACAAUUCUGCCUUCAGACUCUGGCCUCCAAGAUUUAGCCUUUAUGGUUCCAAGUCCCCAAGUCUGUGGCAGUUUGUUAUAGCAGCCCCAGGAGACCAUGUGCGACACCUGGAUGCCAGUUCGUGGCCUAGUUCUCUCCUGGUGAGGUGUCCCUUUUUGCUUGGAAUCAAGAUGGGGCCAGGGGAUGGCUGAAGAAAGAGGGUAGAGAUCCGGCACACCCACCCUGUGAAGUCGCAUCUGAGACCACUGACACCAAACCAUCUCAGAGAUGUCAGAGAGGGGCUGGGGAAGUGGCUCAUGAGGAGGAAGAGGACAAUGAACACAAAUCUGAUUUUAAUGAAGAGACAACGGAAUAUGCUCUACCGGGUGACAUGCGCCUGCAAUGUGAACACUUGGAAGGUGGAAGCAAAAGGUCGUAAGUUUGAGGAUACAUAACUUGGGAUACCCCCAAAACCAACAAACCCAACAGAAAUAAAAGGCAUUGGUCUAGAACCGCCUUCUUCACCUGUCUCCCUUGUGCCCUGUACUCUCUUGGGCCUUGGGUAGGAUAGAUGUCCUCAUGCCAGCAGAGCUUACGGAGUGUGGGACAUUGGAUGGGGACUUUCUCAGAGGACAAGGCACCCAGGAGGGUGUGAGUUCUCUGGAGAGGACCGAAAUCACUCCAGACUCUGCUGGUGGCUUGGGGGGAGGACCUGCCUUAGACUAGACUGGAUUUACCCAGUCGGUCACUUCCUAGAGUUCUGGGGCCAGCAGGAAAUGGGGAAUAGGACACAUGGCCUACUGCAGAACUCAGGUCUCAGAAGAUCACUCUAACAUUUCAUCCCAGAGGCAGAGUUUGGAGAUCUCUGGAAGAACUGGCCUCCACUGGCAGUUCUCACCCAGAUGUCUGGCACAGCUGGGGCAUUACCCAUAAUGCCUUCCAGGAGGCUGAAGAUCUGGAAUUCCUCUUAAAGAGAAGGAGCCCAGUGGCAUCUAGCGGGUGUUCCCCUUGCACUGUAGAGAGACAGAGGGAUGGAUUUGAGGGGCUCAAGAGAGGCAUGAUGCUAAGUAGGAAGCCCCAGGCCAGAUGGAACUCUUCAGGAUGACACUGAGUGACACAGUUUAAAGAACACAUCAAUUUCCACCCAUCUUAUGCUCCCGCACAAACCCACAGUCUACACACUCAUAUAACUUGGCAUGCUGUUCUAACUCUGUCCUAGUAUUUUCUAUGGAGUUCUGGGGUGGAAACCAACUGUUUUUUGUUUUGUUUGUUUCUUUCCCCUCUUUUAUAUAGUGCCUGGUACAUAGUAGGCCUUCAAAACUUCGGGCACAUGGUGUGGACAGGGGCUAAGGAUGUUGCUGAGUGUGCUACACCACACAUGGCGUCCUCCAUGACAGAUUAUUCAUCCCAAAGAUGAAGCGCUCUGCGAUGAAGCCAGUCCUGUGCUAUGGAUGCAGUGUGGAUGUAGUAGGAUUGGAGCUGUUGGGGACCACAGUUCUCAGAGUGUGACUGCCAUUGUCGUCCUAGUAAGAACAGAUGUGACAGCCCACAGAAGACCCUUCAUAAGGUUAGGCCUGCGGCAUUCUGUCACAGAAAGAAAGGGUGGGAGGCUCAUCGACCCUCACUUGAGAUUCAGCUACUCCCCUUCAUGCCUCCCUCCACGCUGAACAUAGAGCACUAACAGAAGGGAGGGACACUAUCCAUCCAGCUUGAGGAGCUUGUCAUCAACAUUGGGGUGAGACUUUCUAGCGGUGCAGCUAUUUUAGGGGGUCACCCACAUUCUUGUAACUAGUCCAAUAGACUCCCUGGGUCCCCACGAUGAACAUGUGUGGAAAUAUGCCUUUGCUCUGCUGGUGGGGUGAGUAGUUAUUCAUUCACAUCUCCCUGGAACCCCCUCUUUUCCAAGGAAGGCUAAGAAUGCAUUCUACUUCUCCCUGUGGGCUUAGGGACCGGGGAUGAGCAAAGAAGACUUAAUAGACACUGAAUCCAGACAGCAGAGCAGAGGAGCUGUGGACGGAUCUGACUUAAGUGUGAUUUUUCUUCCUCCCACUGGGAUUUCCUUAAUAGGCUUUUCCUGAAAGACCAGGUGCUUUCUAUCAAGAACAGUUCCCUUCCAAACCAUAAGGGAGGGAAGAGACCCCCACAUGGGCCUGCUGCUCUUAUUGAGAACGUGUGUCAAAAGGGACAGAAGGCAGUAUGAAUGCCGUAUGCCCAAGUGAAAUCCCUCAAGACUCGAGUUCUGACUUGAAGAAAGCCUGGUGGCCAAGAGGAAGUCUCACAAUUACCUGGAAUGUGCCAAUUCCGCUGGACUGACUGGCUAGGAUCCCCAGGGUCUGCCUAUCCCCUCCUCCCUGUCUCCAGGAUUACAAUAGGAUGAGACUAUUGAACCACACUGGUUUACUUGGAACCCCCGGGGCUACAGAAAAAGGAUAGCCUGUUUUUGUUAGGCAUGAACCAGGGAGGACACAGGUUUGGAACUGUUUCUGGGAAGUCAUCGUGCCAGAACACAGAACCUGGGGGAAAAGCCUACACUGAAGAAAGCAGAACUGAGAGAGAAAAAUAAGCAGAUGUCUAAGGAUACAAUUUCAGCCUCUGGACCAAACUGUGCCUGAAGCCAGAAUCCUUGGAUUCCUUUCCUAUGUGAAUCAGCAAACUCUUGUGUUUUUUGUUGUUGUUUGUUUGUUUCUUUGUUUUGGGUGUUUUAGCAUAGGGGAUAGGGAGCUAUGCCUCCACGUCUUGUAAACAGUAUAAGUGAUGAAUAUAAAUGUACUUGUAAAUAAGAAUAUUAUACUUGUAAAUAAGAAGCAAGAAACUUGUUCAAAGUCUUGAGAAAGGAUGCUAGGCUUGUGGAAACAGAGAG